GAUGAACGCUGGCGGCGUGCCUAAUACAUGCAAGUCGAGCGAACAGAUAAGGAGCUUGCUCCUUUGAAGUUAGCGGCGGACGGGUGAGUAACACGUGGGUAACCUACCUAUAAGACUGGGAUAACUUCGGGAAACCGGAGCUAAUACCGGAUAACAUUUAGAACCGCAUGGUUCUAAAGUGAAAGAUGGUUUUGCUAUCACUUAUAGAUGGACCCGCGCCGUAUUAGCUAGUUGGUAAGGUAACGGCUUACCAAGGCGACGAUACGUAGCCGACCUGAGAGGGGGAUGAGAAAGAAUGGAAGUGAGACAAGGUAAAGACGACUACGGGAGGCAGAAGGAGGGAAUAGUAGGAAAUGGGAGAAAGAAUGAAGUAGAAAUGAAGCGGGAGUGAAGAAGGGAGUAGGAUCGUAAAACAAUGUGAGUAGGGAAGAACGAAAGUGAAAGGAAAAAGGAACGUCGGGAAGGUACAGAAAGAAAAAGAAACGGAUAACUAAGUG
rnacentral:rRNA from 1 species